UCCCUGGUGGUUCAGUGGCUAAGACUCUGCUCUCCCAAUGCAGGGGGCCUGGGUUCAAUCUCUGGUCAGGGAA
rnacentral:tRNA from 1 species